CUCUCUCUCUCUCUCUCUCUCUCUCUCUCACUCUCUCUCUCUCUCUCUCUCUAAACCACCGUGAACAACCACCCAAUCCACCACUAAUCCUGAUCAAACUCCACCUCACAACCACCAUAUUUUCUAUAGGUGACUUGAGGAUCACGAGAAUGGUCUUGCAUGUGAGAAUCAGAAUUGGGGAAAAGAGAAACUCAUUCACCGAGGCUCUACGACAUGCUCGAGUUUGAACCCGACGAAUUCGAGGUCAAACAAGCUUGAAUUUGAUUCUACUUAAUGUCAGCAAGUGACGGCACAAGGUCACUGAGGCAAUGCGUGGCAAUGUGUGAUAGUAUGUGCAGCGUGUGGCAACACGUGGGGACCCGAGACCCAAUCAAAGGUUAUUUGAAUUUCCGAAUCACGUGGUGGACUCUGUUUUUGCUAAAUUGGAGUGGUUUACCACAUUUGAAUUAGAGAUCUUUAGAAUUUACUUAGUUAAGUGCUAAAACAAUGUUUUUAAGGUGCAAGCUUGAGUAGCCUAGAUAAAAACAUGACACCUAUUGAAGAGAAAAAUUCAGAAUUUCUUUGAGUGGAUGAGACUAAUAUUGAAAUGACUAGAUGAUCAUAUGAUUGACUUGUUUAUAUU